GUCCCUGUGGUGUAGUGGCUUGAGUGUUGGACUAUAACUCUGCAGACCAGGGUUUGAAUCCCUGCUUGGCCA